GAACGCUGGCGGCAUGCCUUACACAUGCAAGUCGAACGGCAGCACGGGAGCAAUCCUGGUGGCGAGUGGCGAACGGGUGAGUAAUAUAUCGGAACGUGCCCAGUCGUGGGGGAUAACGCAGCGAAAGUUGUGCUAAUACCGCAUACGAUCUAUGGAUGAAAGCGGGGGAUCGCAAGACCUCGCGCGAUUGGAGCGGCCGAUAUCAGAUUAGGUUGUUGGUGAGGUAAAAGCUCACCAAGCCUGCGAUCUGUAGCUGGUCUGAGAGGACGACCAGCCACACUGGAACUGAGACACGGUCCAGACUCCUACGGGAGGCAGCAGUGGGGAAUUUUGGACAAUGGACGCAAGUCUGAUCCAGCAAUGCCGCGUGCAGGACGAAGGCCUUCGGGUUGUAAACUGCUUUUGUACAGAACGAAAAAAGUCUUUAAUAACACUAGAGGCUCAUGACGGUACUGUAAGAAUAAGCACCGGCUAACUACGUG
rnacentral:rRNA from 1 species